rnacentral:rRNA from 1 species
UAGCCAGACUCCUACGGGAGGCAGCAGUGGGGAAUAUUGCACAAUGGGGGAAACCCUGAUGCAGCGACGCCGCGUGAGUGAAGAAGUAUUUCGGUAUGUAAAGCUCUAUCAGCAGGGAAGAAAAUGACGGUACCUGACUAAGAAGCCCCGGCUAACUACGUGCCAGCAGCCGCGGUAAUACGUAGGGGGCAAGCGUUAUCCGGAUUUACUGGGUGUAAAGGGAGCGUAGACGGCAUGGCAAGUCAGAUGUGAAAGCCCGGGGCUCAACCCCGGGACUGCAUUUGAAACUGUCAGGCUGGAGUGCAGGAGAGGUAAGUGGAAUUCCUAGUGUAGCGGUGAAAUGCGUAGAUAUUAGGAGGAACACCAGUGGCGAAGGCGGCCUGCUGGACGAUGACUGACGUUGAGGCUCGAAAGCGUGGGGAGCAAACAGGAUUAGAUACCCGAGUAC